rnacentral:rRNA from 1 species
CGAUGCAACGCGAAGAACCUUACCUACUCUUGACAUCCAGAGAAUUUGCUAGAGAUAGCUUAGUGCCUUCGGGAACUCUGAGACAGGUGCUGCAUGGCUGUCGUCAGCUCGUGUUGUGAAAUGUUGGGUUAAGUCCCGCAACGAGCGCAACCCUUAUCCUUUGUUGCCAGCGAGUAAUGUCGGGAACUCAAAGGAGACUGCCGGUGAUAAACCGGAGGAAGGUGGGGAUGACGUCAAGUCAUCAUGGCCCUUACGAGUAGGGCUACACACGUGCUACAAUGGCAUAUACAAAGAGAAGCGAACUCGCGAGAGCAAGCGGACCUCAUAAAGUAUGUCGUAGUCCGGAUUGGAGUCUGCAACUCGACUCCAUGAAGUCGGAAUCGCUAGUAAUCGUAGAUCAGAAUGCUACGGUGAAUACGUUCCCGGGCCUU